UUUGACAUGUACUGAUAUCAGCUUCGUUUGAUUUUCGUGCGUGUGCUUGUAACACAAUCAGUUCACAUGUCGAGAUACCAUAAGUUCAAGUCCACUAGUAUUUAUAAAUGUUGGUUUGCAGUACUAGUAUUUACAAAUUUCUUAUAAUUUCCACGGGUCGGAGGCCGUAUAUAUUUCUUAUUUCUGUUGCUACAAGUUCAAGUGAUCAAAUGCUAUAAGGUCGCAUGUUAUUCUCCAAUUAGAAAAAUAUAAACAAUGAUGCUACAAGUUCAAGCUUGCCUAUGUGUCCUAGUGUGUUCCCCGUUCGUCUUUCCAUAUAGUGUAUUCUGAACAUUAGAUGCUUUCAAGAAAUUUGUCGCGCAAGUUCAAGUAUAAUUGCUGCACGAGUUCAAAAUCCUGAACAGUUUAAGCUCAACCCGAUUUCAAGAACUGUUUCCUUCAUAAAUUGUUUUUAUGUUAGUUUGUUGUUAUGGACAGUAUAGGUGCAAAUUAUUGUGUAGUACAUGUGUCCGUUGAUGUGUUUGAAUCCCUUCAGUUCACUUUGAUUCAUAUACAGGUGGUUCAACGUGUCGAGCGGUAGCAGCGCUUGCUCCCAAUGGUUGCCCGCGCAAGGAGGAUACAGGGAUGUUACAUUGCUGGAGGAGCAGUAGCAUGUAGUAGCUAGCUGAAGAAAAGCCAGCGGCCUGCUCUGGCCAUGCAGCACCACCACUGGCACGUCCACCAUGGUUGCUGGCAGCCGUCCAAGUUGAGCGCUGAUGGGAGUCCUUAGCGUGCUUCAACGACACUCUCUCAUAUCAAUCUCUCUCUUUCUUUGCUCCUGCUAUUAAAAUGUGUAGAUGUGCUGCUUUGCUAAUUGAGUAGUUGGGAAGAUGUGAAAAGAACAUGCUCUCUAGGUGUGUGAUUAUUCCUGUGAGCACAAAUGUAUUUAAAUGUUUAUUUUGUGCUUCAGCUUAUGCUUUUGGGCAGUA